AUAUUGGCCAGAGACCGAUAGCGCACAAGUAGAGUGAUCGAAAGAUGAAAAGCACUUUGGAAAGAGAGUUAAAAAGCACGUGAAAUUGUUAAAAGGGAAGGGAUUGCAACCAGACUUGCUCGCGGUGUUCCGCCGGUCUUCUGACCGGUCUACUCGCCGCGUUGCAGGCCAGCAUCGUCUGGUGCCGCUGGAUAAGACUUGAGGAAUGUAGCUCCCUCGGGAGUGUUAUAGCCUCUUGUGAUGCAGCGAGCGCCGGGCGAGGUCCGCGCUUCGGCCAGGAUGCUGGCGUAAUGGUCGUAAUCCGCCCGUCUUGAAACACGGACC
rnacentral:rRNA from 1 species